UACGUAGGGUGCGAGCGUUGUCCGGAAUUAUUGGGCGUAAAGGGCUCGUAGGCGGUUUGUCACGUCGGGAGUGAAAACUCGGGGCUUAACCCCGAGCCUGCUUCCGAUACGGGCUGACUAGAGGUAUGCAGGGGAGAACGGAAUUCCUGGUGUAGCGGUGAAAUGCGCAGAUAUCAGGAGGAACACCGGUGGCGAAGGCGGUUCUCUGGGCAGUACCUGACGCUGAGGAGCGAAAGUGUGGGGAGCGAACAGG
rnacentral:rRNA from 1 species